rnacentral:rRNA from 1 species
UACAGAGGUCUCAAGCGUUGUUCGGAUUCAUUGGGCGUAAAGGGUGCGUAGGCGGCCCGAUAAGUCCGCUGUGAAAGUCAACGGCUCAACUGUUGGAUGCCGGUGGAUACUGUCGGGCUAGAGUACGGAAGAGGCAAGUGGAAUUCCUGGUGUAGCGGUGGAAUGCGCAGAUAUCAGGAGGAACACCUAUAGCGAAGGCAGCUUGCUGGGACGUUACUGACGCUAAGGCGCGAAAGCGUGGGGAGCGAACAGG